rnacentral:rRNA from 1 species
CCUGGCUCAGGACGAACGCUGGCGGCGUGCUUAACACAUGCNAGUCGAACGAUGAAGCCGCUUCGGUGGUGGAUUAGUGGCGAACGGGUGAGUAACACGUGGGUAACCUGCCCUGUACUUUGGGAUAAGCCCUGGAAACGGGGUCUAAUACCGGAUAUGAUCUAUCACCGCAUGGUGGUGGGUGGAAAGCUCCGGCGGUAUGGGAUGGACCCGCGGCCUAUCAGCUUGUUGGUGGGGUGAUGGCCUACCAAGGCGACGACGGGUAGCCGGCCUGAGAGGGNNACCGGCCACACUGGGACUGANACACGGCCCAGACUCCUACGGGAGGCAGCAGUGGGGAAUAUUGCACAAUGGGCGAAAGCCUGAUGCAGCGACGCCGCGUGAGGGAUGACGGCCUUCGGGUUGUAAACCUCUU